rnacentral:rRNA from 1 species
CCUACGGGGGGCAGCAGUGAGGAAUAUUGGUCAAUGGACGAGAGUCUGAACCAGCCAAGUAGCGUGAAGGAUGACUGCCCUAUGGGUUGUAAACUUCUUUUAUAUGGGAAUAAAAUGUUCCACGUGUGGGAUUUUGUAUGUACCAUAUGAAUAAGGAUCGGCUACCUCCGUGCAAGCAGCCGCGGUAAUACGGAGGCUCAGAGCGUUAUCCGGAUUUAUUGGGUUUAAAGGGAGAGUAAGUGGAUUGUUAAGUCAGUUGUGAAAGUUUGAGGCUCAACCGUAAAAUUGCAGUUGAAACUGGCAGUCUUGAGUACAGUAGAGGUGGGCGGAAUUCGUGGUGUAGCGGUGAAAUGCUUAGAUAUCACGAAGAACUCCGAGUGCGAAGGCAGCUCACUGGACUGCAACUGACACUGAGGCUCGAAAGUGUGGGUAUCAAACAGGAUUAGAUACCCUAGUAGUC